rnacentral:rRNA from 1 species
AGCGGACGCUGGCGGCAUGCCUAACACAUGCAAGUCGCACGGGGGGGCUUCGGCCUCCCAGUGGCGGACGGGUGAGGAACGCGUAGGGACCUGUCGAGGGGUGGGGGAUAACCGCGGGAAACUGCGGCUAAUACCGCAUGACGCCGCGGCGUGACAGCCGGGGCCAAAGGCGAAAGCCGCCCGCCGAGGGGCCUGCGUCCGAUUAGCUGGUUGGCGGGGUAGCGGCCCACCAAGGCGUCGAUCGGUAGCUGGUCUGAGAGGGUGAUCAGCCACACCGGGACUGAGACACGGCCCGGACUCCUACGGGAGGCAGCAGUGGGGAAUAUUGGACAAUGGGCGCAAGCCUGAUCCAGCAAUGCCGCGUGGGUGAAGAAGGUCUUCGGAUUGUAAAGCCCUUUCGGCGGGGACGAUGGUGACGGUACCCGCAGAAGAAGCCCCGGCUAACUUCGUG